CCAAACUUGGUCAUUUAGAGGAAGUAAAAGUCGUAACAAGGUUUCCGUAGGUGAACCUGCGGAAGGAUCAUUAUCGAGUGUUAGGGGCUUCGGUCCUUGAAACCUCCACCCUUGCGUGACUGUCUGGGGAUGACCUGACAGUUUGUUGUACUAUAAAAUUGUAUGUUUACUUGCUUUGGCAGAUCUCGGCUUUCGGUCCGUCCGGGUCUAAGGCUGCCGGCAGUUAACUAAAUCAGACUCUUUUGAAUCUUUUUACAAGUCCGAGUCACAUGAAAUAAUUAAAACUUUCAACAACGGAUCUCUUGGUUCUGGCAUCGAUGAAGAACGCAGC
rnacentral:misc_RNA from 1 species